UACGUAGGGCGCGAGCGUUGUCCGGAUUUAUUGGGCGUAAAGAGCUCGUAGGCGGCUUGUUGCGUCGACUGUGAAAACCCGCGGCUCAACCGUGUGGCUUGCAGUCGAUACGGGCAGGCUAGAAUUCGGUAAGGGAGACUGGAAUUCCUGGAUGUAGCGGUGAAAUGACGCAGAUAUCAGGAGGGAACACCCGGCGGCGAAGGCGGGUCUCUGGGCCGAUAUUGACGCUGGAGGAGCGAAAAGCGUGGGGAGCGAACAGG
rnacentral:rRNA from 1 species